GACUCUCUCCUUUUUUCUGAAUAAUUAUGCUUUUGAUUUAUGAACUAUCUUAAAUGAGACUUUCUUUUUGAUCUUCAUCUGCUCCUCAGUUCGUACAGCUUGGUUUCGUGAUUUGCACAGCGUGAUAUAGAGAGAUUUCAGACUGAGUUCAACUGAAUGAUAUCAUUCAUGACAUGUCAGACAAGUUCAACUCAUAUAUAUCACAUAAGCAAUUGAAGAGUGAACGAGGAAGCCAUGGAUUGGAGAGUGAUUACUAUUUGCUGGCAUUGAACUUUCCCUCAAAGAAUGAGCUUUUCCUCUGUAAAGGAGAUUAGUAGAAAGCUGGAAAAUGCAUACAAGAGUGUUGCACUCCAUGAAAGCUCCAACCAAGAUGAAUGAAAAAGUAAUCUGC